AUUGAACGCUGGCGGCAGGCCUAACACAUGCAAGUCGAACGAGUGGCGGACGGGUGAGUAAUGUCUGGGAAACUGCCCGAUGGAGGGGGAUAACUACUGGAAACGGUAGCUAAUACCGCAUACCAUCGGAUGUGCCCAGAUUGGAUUAGCUAGUAGGUGGGGUAAAGGCUCACCUAUGCGACGAUCCCUAGCUGGGAUGAAAGGAUGACCAGCCACACGGGAACUGAGCAACGGUCCAUACUCCUACGGGAGGGAGCAGUGGGGAAUAUUGCACAAUGGGCGCAAGCCUGAUGCAGCCAUGCCGCGUGUAUGAAGAAGGCCUUCGGGUUGUAAAGUACUUUCAGCGGGGAGGCGUUACCCGCAGAAGAAGCACCGGCUAACUCCGUGCCAGCAGCCGCGGUAAUAC
rnacentral:rRNA from 1 species